CCUACGGGAGGCAGCAGUGAGGAAUAUUGGUCAAUGGGCGCGAGCCUGAACCAGCCAAGUCGCGUGCGGGAAGACGGUCCUAUGGAUUGUACACCUCUUUUGUCGGGGAGCAAAAGACGCCACGUGUGGCGUUCCGAGAGUACCCGAAGAAAAAGCAUCGGCUAACUCCGUGCCAGCAGCCGCGGUAAUACGGAGGAUGCGAACGUUAUCCGGAUUUCUUGGGGUUAAAGGGUGCGUAGGCGGAAGAGCAAGUCAGCGGUAAAAUUGAGAGGCUCAACCUCUUCGAGCCGUUGAAACUGGUUUUCUUGAGUGAGCGAGAAGUAUGCGGAAUGCGUGGUGUAGCGGUGAAAUGCAUAGAUAUCACGCAGAACUCCGAUUGCGAAGGCAGCAUACCGGCGCUCAACUGACGCUCAUGCACGAAAGUGUGGGUAUCGAACAGGAUUAGAUACCCUUGUAGUC
rnacentral:rRNA from 1 species